rnacentral:rRNA from 1 species
UUAAAAGUAGCAUGGUUAAGCUACUAAGAGCACACGGAGGAUGCCUAGGCGCUAGGAGCCGAAGAAGGACGUGGCGAACAACGAAACUGCCUCGGGGAGCUGUAAGCAAGCWUUGAUCCGGGGGUGUCCGAAUGGGGAAACCCGGCUGGUGUAAUAGCCAGUCACUCAYRWCUGAAUACAUAGGUCAUGAAGAGGCAUACCAGGGGAACUGAAACAUCUAAGUACCCUGAGGAAGAGAAAACAAGAGUGAUUCCGUCAGUAGCGGCGAGCGAACGCGGAACAGCCUAAACCAGAGAGCUUGCUCUCUGGGGUUGUGGGACGUCUCACACGGAGUUACAAAGGAACAGRUUAGACGAACAGGUCUGGAAAGGCCGGCCAUAGAAGGUAAAAGCCCUGUAAUYGAAARUSUGUUCCCUCCGAGACGGAUCCCRRRUAGUGCGGGGCACGUGAAACCCCGUAUGAAUCUGCCAGGACCAUCUGGUAAGGCUAAA